UACGGAGGGAGCUAGCGUUGUUCGGAAUUACUGGGCGUAAAGGGCGCGUAGGCGGCCCCUCUUUGUCGCGUGUGAAAGCCCCGGGCUCAACCUGGGAACGGCGCGCGAAACGGGGGGGGCUGGAGUUCGGGAGAGGAGCGUGGAAUUCCCAGUGUAGAGGUGAAAUUCGUAGAUAUUGGGAAGAACACCGGUGGCGAAGGCGGAUCUCUGGGCCUUACCUGACG
rnacentral:rRNA from 1 species